AUGAAAUGCAGGUGGUGCCCUGGGUUUCCUCAGGUCAGUGAUAUGUGGUUAGAUGCCAACCAUAGCUUUGAUGAUGACUCUACUAUCAUGGAUAAUGGUGACGUUAAUAGGAGGCUACCAGCUGUGAUCAAGUUUGAAAUUCAGCUUUACAAGACCAGGGAUGACAAGUACCUGCUAGAUAUGCAGAGAGUUACUGGACCUCAGCUCCUCUUCUUGGAAUUUUGUGCGGCCUUCCUUACCAACCUUAGGGUUCUAUAG
rnacentral:rRNA from 1 species